UUGCUUGUCACUUAGGCUGGAGUGCAGUGAUGCGAUCAUGGUUCGCUGCAGCCUUAACUUCCUGGGCUCAAGCAAUAUCCUCCCACCUCAGCCUUCCUAGUACCCAGGACUAUAGGCGUGGAGUACCAGACCCAAAUAUUUAAAAAAUUUUUUAUAGAGGCAGGCUCUUACUGUGUUGGCCAGGCUGGUCUUGAACUCCUAGGCUCAAAACAGUCAUCCUGCCUCAGCCUUCCAAAGUUUAGGGAUUACAGACAUGAGCUACAGCUCCAGGCCAACAAUAUUUCUUAAAGCUCCUGGGGUGAUUCCAAUAUGCAUCCAAGGUUGAAAAACACCCUUUAAAAGAGCUCAGCAAGUGUAGAAGACCAGCACUCACACACUGGUAUACUUUAUCCAGAGCCCGGCUGCCCAGUCAUCUCUGAUAACCUAAAAUGAAGGCCUCAGAAGCUGCCCUGGAAGCAAAAGUUUCUCUCUGACCUCCUGCCCUCUUGUUUCUGGCUUCUUAUUCUCCCCCAAUGCUGGCCAUGGAAACUAGAAUCUCUUCCCCAAGGCACGUCAUCAAAACCAGUUUUACCCAAAGCCAGCCAUAAAACCUAAAAAUAGUCCUUUCACUCCCCACUCCCCUUUCUGUGUGAAAACUGGUCAGAGAGAGAGCUGGAGUAAAGGGAGCUAGCAGAAAAAAAAAAAAAAUGGUCAGAAAUGAUCUGACCCACUGUGUUUGACUGUCAUAAGACACCCAUUCCAGAGAGGGUCCCACCCCAUGCUCAGAAGGAAGGAACAGAGAGGCCAAGAAGAAUCUAGACAGGCCUUGCUGGGUUUCACCUCUCAGUCUAUUAGUAUUAGACCUUUCUUGUCCAAUCACAUUUCUACACAGUCCAAAAUCUGUUGAACCUAAGCAUAAAAAUGGACAACUUCCCUGUAUCUUUAGGUCUUCAUUCCAAAGGCUCAGAUAAAAUUAUGAUCCAACAAAUUUGUUUGCUUUUUCUCCUGUUAAUCUACCACUUAUCAGUGAUUUUUCAGCAGGUCUUCAGAGGGUGGAGGGUGAGUUUUCCCUUGGCCCUGGAAGUGGCAAGGGUCACAGAUGGUGUGGACAUGAGUGCAUGUCCCAGCUGGAGGAAGUUUCAAGGCAGAGAUUUGGAUAGUGAAGCAUGACUAGGGGAGAACAGGUAAGAGUCCAGUCUGUUUUGUUCAUCUGGUUCUAUGUUCUCUCUUUCUCUCUCCCAACAUGCAGAUUUCUCAAAAGCAAUGCCUGUGUCUACUUUCUCUCUUUCCCAGAGCAAGGCAUACCAUUGCAGUGUAGGGGAGUGGAGGGCGGGGGAGGUGAGCUGUGGGGAAGAGGCUCCAGGGGUUGUUGAGGAUAGAGGGUGGAUGCAGUCAGAGGCAGAGACUGAGGUUUCUCCCCAGCCCUGUCUGCCCUCCCUCCAUUCUGGGUGGCUAGUGCCCCAUGGGGCAAGCAACGUGGUAUGUAUUCGUGAGUUUAUGUUUGGGAGGGGCGAGGAAAGAAAGUAGACUUGUUCUCAUGUAACUCUUCAAAUCCUUUCUGCGCUUAAAAGAGAAGGACUUCUUUGUCAUUUUGUUUGUUUUGAAGACAGUUACACUUGAGGAUGAUAGUGGGUUAGAUCCCUGGAUUAGGGGUAUGUGUGGAGGUCCUUUCAAGGACAUGCUUCUCCCAGCUGUACCUGGUCACCUUUCUGUAUUAUGUAAUGAUGGUCAAGGUCAACCCAUACACUAGUAAGCAAUAGGGAUAGGAGCCAAUUCUGAACUGUACUGGGAGCGAUGGGAAUUUGUCAAGAGGGUUUUUAAGAGUGACAUGAUCUGAUAUCUAUUAUUCUGGCUGCUUUGAGAGAACAGAUUUUAAAGAAUCAAAGGUGGCAGCAGGGAGCCCAUUUGGGAGGCUGUUGCAGUGAUUCAGGCAAGAGAUAACGGUGGUGGGAACCAGGUGGGAGCAGAGAAGAUAGUGAGAAGUGUCGUGCUGGAUAUAUUUGAAGGCAGUGCUAAGAGGAUUCUUGAACUGUUGGAUGUAGGAUGUGACAGAAAGAGAAGCUAAGAGGAUUCUUGAACUAUUUGGAUAUAGGAUGUAAGAAAAAAAGGAGUCAAGGUUACCUUCACGAUUUUUCUCCUGGACAACUAACUGCUGGCGAAUUCUUGAUCAUUUUACAGCAGAAAAUGAUGAGGUAGUGGAAGGUUUUACUGUGCUAUAAGUUACAGUGAAUGAACUAGAGGUAGAAGUAUCAACUUGGAUGCACUGAAACAAUGCUAAGGAAAAAAACAAGCUUCAGAAUGUACAUCCAUUAGAAUAUAAUUUAUAUAAAUUUGUAAGGCUUGCAAACAGGAUUGUGUAAGCCCCAUAUAUAGAUGGCAAAAGUAUAAAGACAAAUACAGUAUAAUUAUAGCCAGGAUUGAGCCCCAUCUGGGAGCCUCACACUUAACAAAACAGAACAAAAC